rnacentral:rRNA from 1 species
AUUGAACGCUGGCGGCAGGCCUAACACAUGCAAGUCGAGCGGAUGAAGGGAGCUUGCUCCUGGAUUCAGCGGCGGACGGGUGAGUAAUGCCUAGGAAUCUGCCUGGUAGUGGGGGAUAACGUCCGGAAACGGGCGCUAAUACCGCAUACGUCCUGAGGGAGAAAGUGGGGGAUCUUCGGACCUCACGCUAUCAGAUGAGCCUAGGUCGGAUUAGCUAGUUGGUGGGGUAAAGGCCUACCAAGGCGACGAUCCGUAACUGGUCUGAGAGGAUGAUCAGUCACACUGGAACGGGGACAGGGUCCAGACUACUACGGGAGGCAGCAGUGGGGAAUAUUGGACAAUGGGCGAAAGCCUGGUCCAGCCGUGCCGCGUGUGUGAAGAAGGUCUUCGGAUUGGAAAGCACUUUAAGUUGGGAGGAAGGGCAGUAAGUUAAUACCUUGCUGUUUUGACGUUACCAACAGAAUAAGCACCGGCUAACUUCGUG